GCGAUGCUCUCAGGCCUCGGCCUAUGGCACCUCUUCAACCACAUGAGGCUCUUGGUCUCCCUCGCCCCGACCCCGUCGUCCUCAUCGUCGCGCGUCGUCGUCCUCGCGCCGGCAGCAUGGUUCCCGGCGCCACGGGGUGCGUCGCCUCGAGCCCAUCGCCAUGCUGGCCGCGGGAGCGUACGGGCUGGCCACCCAGAUGCUCGCCUACUCGCCGAUGCCGUUCCGCGCCGACGGCUCCAUCCCGCCUGAGCGGCUGCCGAACCACGAGCACGCCAUCAUCUACGCCUCGCUCCUCGUCUACACCAGCUCCAACAUAUACCUGGACGACGACGACGACCGCGCCACGCGGCGCCGGCGCCGACGACGCUCUCCAUGCUCCUCCUGGCAGCGCUCUUCGCGCAGGAGCUGUUCGUGUUCCACGUCCACUCCUCCACCGACCACGCCGGCGUAGUUCCAGCGGCAGAGGCCUGCCUGGUCCUUGAGCGCCUCCACCGCGCCGACGCUCAUCGCCACCAUCCACGACGCCCUCGCUGCCGCCGCCAUGUCCGGAUUCUCCUACCGCUCGGAUCUUGGGCUCUUGCUUUUGAGUUCGGUUGCUGUGCUGGUCGCUGAUUGACUCGCAGUAGUGCUCCUCUGAGGUUGUGUUGAUGCUCCUGUGCUGUGUAUUGGGGCUUGGGAGUGAGCUGGGAGACCGGCGGGUGGGUUAUAUACCGGAGGGAGGCCGGCGGAAACAGGUGGCCGCGGACGCUGGUUUUGCUGGACACCGGGGGCUCUCAGUCUCCCUGCUUGUUUACGCUUUCUCCAGAGCUGUUUCGCUGGAUACCAGGGGCUCUCACUCACCACUGUCCGUGCUUGUUUACACUUUAUCCACAGUUCUGGAGAGAAGAA